rnacentral:rRNA from 1 species
UACAGAGGGGGCAAGCGUUAUUCGGAAUUAUUGGGCGUAAAGGGCGCGUAGGCGGCCUUUCAAGUGACGGGUGAAAGCCCUCGGCUUAACCGAGGAACUGCCUGUCAGACUGGAAGGCUUGAGACCGGGAGAGGUGAGUGGAAUUCCGAGUGUAGAGGUGAAAUUCGUAGAUAUUCGGAAGAACACCAGUGGCGAAGGCGACUCACUGGACACGUAUUGACGCUGAGGUGCGAAAGCGUGGGGAGCAAACAGG